rnacentral:rRNA from 1 species
CCUACGGGAGGCAGCAGUGGGGAAUAUUGCACAAUGGGGGAAACCCUGAUCCAGCGACGCCGCGUGAGUGAAGAAGUAUUUCGGUACGUAAAGCUCUAUCAGCAGGAAAGAAAAUGACGGUACCUGACUAAGAAGCCCCUGCUAACUACGUGCCAGCAGCCGCGGUAAUACGGAGGGGGCAAGCGUUAUCCGGAUUUCCUGGGUGGAAAGGGAGCGUAGACGGCAGCGCAAGUCUGGAGUGAAAUGCCGGGGCCCAACCCCGGAACUGCUCUGGAAACUGUGAAGCUGGAGUGCAGGAGAGGUAAGCGGAAUUCCUGGUGUAGCGGUGAAAUGCGUAGAUAUCAGGAGGAACACCAGCGGCGAAGGCGGCUUACUGGACUGUAACUGACGUUGAGGCUCGAAGGCGUGGGGAGCAAACAGGAUUAGAUACCCGGGUAGUC